AUUGAUCAUGAAGAUCUACACAACACACACAUAUAUAUAAUUAGACUUACAACACUUGAAACACAACAUAUACAUAUAUAUGUAUAUAGAAACUCCAUAAAAUGCAAGAUCACACAUAAAAUUAAACAACAGAAAAUCUCUUAUGGAGGGCUUAAUUAAUUUCUUGAAUAAUUAUUUUUUGCCACGUUGUUUGCGAAAGUAGUCGGACGGAUUUUGCUCGAAAUCCUUCCUCGGCAUGUAGCGGCCACCCUGGCCGGGCGCUUUCAUCAUCUUUUCCGGUUCUUUUUCCGAGCUCCCGAACCACUUCGCUAUGCCCCACACCGCCAGCGCCGCCGCACCCACCACCAGAGCAGCUCCUCCUAAUCCUUCCUCCUCCUCCUCCUUCAUCUUUGCUUUCGAUGAACUUCGUCCUCCACCGCCACCGGCCGAUGCCAUUCUUAGCCUCGGAGAUUUCUAUGUAAUGAGUGAGAGAUACACUCUU
rnacentral:lncRNA from 1 species